rnacentral:rRNA from 1 species
AUACGGGGGGUGCAAGCGUUAAUCGGAAUUACUGGGCGUAAAGCGCGCGUGGGCGGUUUGCUCAGUCGGAUGUGAAAGCCCAGGGCUCAACCUUGGAACUGCAUACGAUACUGGCAAACUAGAGUGUGAGAGAGGAUAGUGGAAUUUCCGGUGUAGCGGUGAAAUGCGUAGAUAUCGGAAGGAACAUCAGUGGCGAAGGCGACUGUCUGGCUCAACACUGACGCUGAGGUGCGAAAGCGUGGGUAGCAAACAGGAUUAGAAACCCUAGUAGUCC